rnacentral:lncRNA from 1 species
AGAGAUGCAAAAUGUUAUUCUCAACGAGCUUGCAGAAAUAAAAGUUCUUUUAAAAGAAGUCAUAGAAAUUAAGUUUCAGGCUACUGGGGUGAAGUUGCUAGAAUCAGUGGACGAAGUGGUUACACUGGAUAAUAAACUAAAAGAUAAAACCGAGUAUACUAAUUUGCUUGAUAGUUUGAAAAAGAUUGGUGGUGGAAAGCCAAGAGAACAUGUUUUUUUUUAUCAUGAAAAGGUUAUUUUCGAAUCAGUUACAGCCCAAAUUUAAUCGAAAAGGAAAUGGGGAAAAGAUAAGCAUAGAAAAUCUAGUAAAUAUAUAGAGUGUUAUACGAGAUAUCGGCGACGUGGAAGAAAAUGUUGACGGCAAUGCAGAAAUAUAGUUUCUUAUAUAUAUUUUUGUGAAAUAAAAAUUAAGUAAUGUUAGUUAAAAUGUUUCUUUACUUAUUUAAUUUAAUCCUUUUUUAUGACUAAUUUAACCGCUG